rnacentral:rRNA from 1 species
AUAGCGUAUAUUAAAGUUGUUGCAGUUAAAAAGCUCGUAGUUGAAUUUUGGGCCUGGGUAAGUGGUUUAGCCUUACGGUUAACACUGCUUUGCCUGGGUCUUUCCUUCUAGGGAACUAAUGUGCUAUUCAUUUAGUGCGUUAGGGAUCUAGGACUGUUACUUUGAAAAAAUUAGAGUGUUUAAAACAGGCUUAUGCUUGAAUACAUUAGCAUGGAAUAACGGAAUAGGACUUUGUUUCUAUUUUGUUGGUUUUGAGGAACGAAGUAAUGAUUAAUAGGGAUAGUUGGGGGCAUUAGUAUUCCAUUGUCAGAGGUGAAAUUCUUGGAUUUAUGAAAGACUAACUUCUG